GCGGUGGCGUAGUGGUAGACGUUAGGUGACUCCCAAUCAGUAGCCAUACGCAGUGCGGGUUCGAAUCCCGACCCAAGCA